UACGUAGGUCCCGAGCGUUGUCCGGAUUUAUUGGGCGUAAAGGGAGCGUAGGCGGCCUGGCAAGCCUGAUGUGAAAUACCGGGGCCCAACCCCGGGGCUGCAUUGGGAACUGCCAGGCUGGAGUGCCGGAGAGGCAGGCGGAAUUCCUAGUGUAGCGGUGAAAUGCGUAGAUAUUAGGAGGAACACCAGUGGCGAAGGCGGCCUGCUGGACGGUGACUGACGCUGAGGCUCGAAAGCGUGGGGAGCAAACAGG
rnacentral:rRNA from 1 species